UACGGAGGAUGCAAGCGUUAUCCGGAAUGAUUGGGCGUAAAGCGUCCGCAGGUGGCAAUGUAAGUCUGCUGUCAAAGCGUCUGGCUCAACCAGAUAAAGGCAGUGGAAACUACAUAGCUAGAGUAAGGUAGGGGUAGAGGGAAUUCCUGGUGUAGCGGUGAAAUGCGUAGAGCUCGGGAAGAACAUCGGUGGCGAAAGCGCUCUGCUGGACUGCAACUGACACUCAGGGACGAAAGCUAGGGGAGCGAAUGGG
rnacentral:rRNA from 1 species